AUCUCAUUCGGAUUGUAGUCUGNAACCCGACUACAUGAAGCUGGAAUCGCUAGUAAUCGCAGAUCAGAAUGCUGCGGUGAAUACGUUCCCGGGUCUUGUACACACCGCCCGUCACACCAUGGGAGUUGGAAAUGCCCGAAGCCAGUGACCCAACCGUAAGGAGGGAGCUGUCGAAGGUGGAGCCGAUGACUGGGGUGAAGUCGUAACAAGGUAGC
rnacentral:rRNA from 1 species